rnacentral:lncRNA from 1 species
GCCACCCCGGACCCUACCCCCCCCCCCCGGGGUCGCAGCCCCCUGGAACCGCUCUGUGCACUUCCCCCGCAUCCCUGCGCCCUUCAUCCCUGCCCCGCGUCCAGGAGCCACCCCGCCACGGAGCCCCCUUCCCCCCUGGAACCGCUCUGUGCGCUCCCCCCGCAUCCCUGCGCCCCGCAUCCCUGCCCCGCGCCGCGGACCCCCCACCCCCGUCGCAGCCCCCUGGAAAGCCGUGCCCGCACCCCCGAGGCACCCCUCCGCUCUGUGCGCUCCCCCCAUCCCUGCCCCGCGUCCCCAAGCCACCCCUCCGCGGAGCUCCCCCUCCCCGGGGUCGCAGCCACCUGGAAAGCGUGUGGGCUCCCCCCGCAUCACCGCGCCCCGCGCCCCCGAGCCACCCCGGACCCCGCCCCGCCCCGCAGGCCCUGCACCCGGAGCGGUCCGGCCGCGCUGAGCCACCGGGGACCGCGUCCGAGGGCCUGGGCCAGGGCGGGCGCAGCCUGCAUCCUUCACCCCGCGCUGCGAGGCCGUCGGCCCGCUAGGGUCAGGAUCCCAACCACAGGCAUGACAGCACUGACGUCGGGAACAGGGAAGCGCCUUGCUCAGGGCCAGGCAACCAGCGCGCGGGGCGCCCGGGCCAGGAGAUCCACGGCAGAACACUCCACGCGCGGAAAGCGUCUCGGACCCGGUGUCUCCAGGGGCAGGGCGCAUUUCCCGAGUCGGAGCUUCGGGAGCCCCGCGGGGCGGAGUCGGGGUGCGGCGCCCUGGCCCUGCCACCUGGGGCCAAGGGAGAGCUGGGGACCCCCUGGCCGCCUCCCCGCCUCCCGCAAGCCUGUUGCACAGGCCCAGGGAAUCUCCACCCAAAGCAAGCAGGCGGCGGGGACUGCUCUGCGGCGGCCCAGGUCCCCGGCGCCUUUGCAGCUCAAGCAGCAGCGCACAGGCAAGUGUCUCCUCCGCACGUUCCUGCUUUUCCAUAUGGGAUCGCGCAGGUUUCCAGUGCAAAUCAGCUGUCGGUGGCCCGACCCCCCGACUUUCACCAGCACAAAUUUAGGAAGCGGCUUGGCUUCCUUCAGUCAAAAGCAGUGAGAAAUAACAAAAGCGAAAGGUUGUGGUCCUGCGGCGCUGGAGCAGGCGAGCCAGAGGUCUAGGAGCCUGUCUGCGGCCAGGAGAGCGCCUUCUCCGGGCACCUUGCUGCACCCCCCUGAGAACUGGCUUCCCAAGAGCGCCGCGUGGGAACUCACCCAUGAAGACCCCCCCUCUGUCCCUUGCUUCAAAAAAUCACAAUAAUUGAACUGAGUUCUGAAUUUCUUCAGCGCGGUGUUAGCGUGUUUGCAACGGAGAGCGUGCACUGCAAUAGACGAGCGCCCAGUGUGCACCUUGUUUUCUUAAGUGUUGACGGGUGGGGGAUAGGAACUGCACAGUGUGCCCCUCAGGUGGCCGACCCAGUGCCCAGUACCGGGUAAGCGAUAAUUUCUGAAAGAACCUGGGGUGUGGGCCGCGGGGCCGCGGGGCCUCGGGCCUGUUGAGCUGCGGGGCUGCAGGGCCGCGGGGCUGCUGAGAUGCGGGGCUGCUGAGCUGCAGGGCCUCGGAGCUGCGGGGCUGCUGAGAUGCUGAGCUAUGGAGCUGCUUAGCUGUGGGACUGCAGGGCUGCGGGGUUGCUUAGCUGCCAGGCAGCGUAGCUGCGGGACCUCAGGGCUGUGGGGCUGCUGGGCUGCUGAGAUGCGGGACUGCGGGGUGCAGGGCUGCGGGGCUGCGAGGUUAGCGGGGCUGCGGAGCUGCAGGGCUGCCGGGUUGCGGGGCUGCAGGGCUGCUGAGCUGUGGGGCUGUUGAGCUGCAGGGCUGCAGGGCUGCUGAGAUGCUGAGCUAUGGGCUGCUGAGCUGCGGGGCUGCGGGGCUGCUGAGCUGCGGGGCUGUGGAGCUGCUGAGCUGCGGGACCUCAGGGCUGUGGGGCUGCUGGGAUGCUGAGAUGUGGGACUGCGGGGUUAGCGGAGCUGCAGGGCUGUGAGGUGCAGGGCUGCGGGGCUGCGGGGUUAGCGGUGCUGUGGAGCUGCAGGACUGCGGGGUUGCGGGCUGCGGGGCUGCUGAGCUGCAGAGCUGCUGAGUUGCAGGGUGCAGGGCUGCGGGGCUGCUGAGCUGCGGGGCUGCAGAGAGCAGGGCUGCGGGGUUGCGGGCUGCAGGGCUGCUGAGCUGCAGAGCUGCUGAGCUGCAGGGUGCAGGGCUGUGGGGUUAGCGGGGCUGUGGAGCUUCAGGGCUGCGGGCUGCAGGGUGCAGGGUUGCGGGGCUGCAGGGCUGCUGAGCUGCUGAGUUGCAGGGUGCAGGGCUGCGGGGCUGCUGAGCUGCAGGGCUGCAGGGAGCAGGGCUGUGGGGUUGCGGGGUGCAGGGCUGCGGGGCUGCAGGGCUGCUGAGCUGCAGGGUGCAGGGCUGCGGGGUUGCGGGGUGCCGGGCUGCGGUGCUGCAGGGCUGCGGGGCUGCUGAGCUGCGGGCUGCAGGGCUGCGGUGCGGGCCGGCGGCGGCGUCAGGAACCCCGACAGGUGGAGCGGGGGCGGGCGGGGCUGCGGGCGGCCUGCGAUUCCCGAGAGCCGGGCGCCACCCAGCGGAAGCGGGAGGGAGUCGGGCCUCUCGGGCGCGGGCCCCGGGAGCCGGGCGGGCGAGGUCGGGGUUCCCCGCCUGCGUGCGCGGCCUUCCCGGAGCCCCCGACAGCAGGUCCCGCCGCCCCGGGCGAGGCCGCUGGCUCCCCCGCACGCACCAGCCGGCGGGCAGGCCGGGGCGGGGGUCCUGCAGGGAGGCCAAGCGCAGGGCGGAGGACGGGGCCACGUGGGCCGCGCUCAGCAUCCGCAGAGGUUUUUGGCGCGAGUCCCUGAUUCCGAGAGGCUGCGGGAUGGCCUGACGCGGCCUGUCCGGCUGCUUUCUUCUCCGGGGCGCGCCCCUCCCGCCCGGCCCGCCUGGUGUGCGAGGAUGGUGUUUGAAAGGGAGGAAGCAUUCCUGAAGUGCUGGGUGAUGGAUUGUCUAAACCCUUCUGGGACGCCCUGGGCGGGGCGCUUGGAGGCAGCUCAUCAAUAAAGACCCCCCUGGAGAGGCGAGGGGUGGCCGGGCGGGGCCCCCACCGCGCAGCCCGAGGAAGCGGGGCCGGGAGGGAGCUCGCGCAGGGGAAGGGCAGCGGGGAAGGCGCGCAGGUCAGCGCCGGGCAGGUGGGGCUUGCUUCUUGCCUGGACCCCCGGCCACGGAAGCACUUUAGGCUUGGAGGCCGCGGGGGGAUUCACUGGGGGGCGGGAGGGCUGGCAGAGAAAGGCUGGUGGGCUCCCCCUCCCGGGGGUAGGGGAGCAGGAGGGGAAGCAGGGGCGCAGAGGCACCAGCGGCCCUCCUGCUGCUCCAGCCUUCUCCAGGCCCCUGCGAGAAUCCAUCAGUCCGUCUCCCAAACUGCAGGGCGGACGGAGGCGCCGGGCAGAGGACGCGGCCCAAGCCAUCCCGAGGGUCUCAGGAGGUCAACACUUGGACCAGGCCAAGGACAGGCCACAGCCUCUGACGCUGAAAAGCCCCAUUCUUUGUCCUGGGCAGCAGUCUCCCGAGAUACCCCAUGCAGGGUCGUGGAGGCCCCAUACACGGCUCCUCUGGGGUCCCCUCUAAGAGGAGGCGUCCUGGGGUUGGGGACGCCCGUGGGGAACCUGGCGGCUAGCUCCUUGGGAAGGCCAGCUUGCAGAGGCGGCUUCUGGGCCUCUUUGGAGGACCGCGGGCGGCCUCCGCUGGCCCCGAGAGCCCCUCUCCUGCUCGCAGGGUCCCCUCCCCUGUCCCGGCACCGACAACCACUGGCUGUCCCCUCACGACAGCCUUGGGGGCCCUUCGCCCUCCGUGGCCUAGAGCUGCCCCCCUCCCUACCCAGGGUCCCGUCGCCUCCCAGAGCACAGACCGCCCGCAGGCCUGGAGGAGGGGUGGGGGUGCUGGGGGACGGAUGAGAGGCUGAGAGGGAGGGCUCCCGAAAAGUAGCUCCUCCAAGGCGGCGUCUGGGCGCCCGAGGUCCCCAGUCGGGCUCCGGGCGCCGAGCACGUUUUAUUUAUCCUCACAGAGGAUGCUGGAGGACAAAAGAAAUAUUUGGACGUCAGCGCUGAUUUAUAUUUUUGGAAGAGCUACGUUUCCUUUUCUGAAGAGAAGCAAGCGCCCCAUAUCCUGAGCCCAGCAGGGAGGACAGGAGGGGAGUUUUGAUGCUCCAGGAAGUCCAUCCCUCCCGGCUCCUCGGGCAAGGCCCGGCGCCCCGCGGGGCUCGCUGCCCUCCGGGUUACUUAUUUGGGGGUAAGGGAGGGUAAGCGGAAAGGAGAUGAAGCCGACCCCGUCUGGGUUGGGA